AUGAAGUCACAACAAGGAGUUUCUUUCAAGAUAUUCUCGGAGGAGCUACAGCAAGCCACCGACAAGUUUGACGAGAAGCACAUCAUCGGCUAUGGAGGACAUGGCACCGUCUACAGGGGGCUUCUCGACAGUGGCGUCGAGGUUGUCGUCAAAAGAUGCAAGACCAUCGACGAGAAGAACAAGAAAGAGUUCGGUCGGGAGAUGUUGAUCCUAUCUCAGAUAAACCACAGGAACAUCGUCAAGUUGUUGGGAUGCUGCCUCGAGGUUGAAGUGCCCAUGUUGGUGUACGAGUUCGUCCGAGAUGGCACGUUGUACCAACUCAUCCAUGGCAGCCCCGUCAAGCGCAUCUCCCUAGCAGCUCGUCUGUAGAUUGCCCAUGAUUCUGCUGAAGCUCUCGCCUACCUGCACUCUUGGGCGUCACCACCCAUCCUCCAUGGCGACGUCAAGUCCUCCAACAUCCUCCUCGAUGGUGGCCUCACGGCCAAGGUCUCCGACUUCGGCGCCUCCAUCCUAGCACCAGCAGACGAGUCACAGUUCGUCACGCUCGUGCAAGGAACCUGUGGCUACCUCGACCCGGAGUUGCGUAUAUCCUGGAACGGGAUGCACGUCCCGCUGGGAGUGGUAGGGGCCAUGCGAAGUCCUUCAACAGUGUAG
rnacentral:rRNA from 1 species